UACUCCUACGGGAGGCAGCAGUGGGGAAUUUUGGACAAUGGGCGAAAGCCUGAUCCAGCAAUGCCGCGUGUGUGAAGAAGGCCUUCGGGUUGUAAAGCACUUUUGUCCGGAAAGAAAUCCUUGGCUCUAAUACAGUCGGGGGAUAACGGUACCGGAAGAAUAAGCACCGGCUAACUACGUGCCAGCAGCCGCGGUAAUACGUAGGGUGCAAGCGUUAAUCGGAAUUACUGGGCGUAAAGCGUGCGCAGGCGGUUUGCUAAGACCGAUGUGAAAUCCCCGGGCUCAACCUGGGAACUGCAUUGGUGACUGGCAGGCUAGAGUAUGGCAGAGGGGGGUAGAAUUCCACGUGUAGCAGUGAAAUGCGUAGAGAUGUGGAGGAAUACCGAUGGCGAAGGCAGCCCCCUGGGCCAAUACUGACGCUCAUGCACGAAAGCGUGGGGAGCAAACAGGAUUAGAUACCCUGGUAGUCCACGCCCUAAACGAUGUCAACUAGUUGUUGGGGAUUCAUUUCCUUAGUAACGUAGCUAACGCGUGAAGUUGACCGCCUGGGGAGUACGGUCGCAAGAUUAAAACUCAAAGGAAUUGACGGA
rnacentral:rRNA from 1 species